GUUAGACGAGGGAAUAUAGGGAGGGAUGUGAUUGUGAAGCUUCUUCCUUCUGAUUCUUCUUCUCCCCACCUAUAUGAUAUUUCUCUCAAAUUCGGGCACUCUUUUAUAUACAACUUCGAGAGAGUCUCGCUGUUACUCAAUAACCAAUCAGCUGGCAGACAUUCCACACCGAUCUUCUCAAUCCUCAAUUCUUCAAGGCAUGACGAGACAUGACUUGGAACACUCAUCAAUUGCUCGCAAUCAUUAAUAUCCAAAUGUUGGAGGCGAGGAAAUAGCUUCACUUCACUUCCAUCCGAAAUUUCUAUUUCUGCCCACUCUGCCAGCUUAGGCAUUGAAGACAAUUCAAACCUCUCGAGAGCUGGGAAAACAAUGCUUGUGUCCUUGUUCACCAUUCCAUAGAAUGAUGAAUUUAUACACUUCACAUUGCUCAAUCCCCCCAAAUCAAGGGACUUGAGAUUGGGCAAGUGCCCCAACAUUGGCAUCUCUUCACAUUCUCUGCAGUACUUGAGUGAUAACGACAUUAACUUGUUAAGUAGCAGCCAAGAGCCUUGAGGCGCAUCCCGAACUGCCAUCUUCUGAGUCCAUGAUGGAAAUCUUUUGCCGUUGAAUCCAUCAAUCUCUAACUCCCUCAGAUCUGAGUGAGGUUGAAGGCCUUCCAAUACAUCCUCAUCAUUUCCAAUGUCAUCACCCCAUUUCAAACACAGCUCCAAUAUUUUUGACUUUUUGAAUAAAUUGGCUUUCCCAGCCUCAUCCUUGUCAUGAACCCUUUCCAGAUUGCCAAUCCAUAGCUUUCCUUUAAGAUUAUUCAAACUUCCGAGCUCUUCAAUUUUGCAGCCAUUCUCGUCGCCCACUGGAAAGUGCGUUAGCGUUUGGAGAGAAGUUAAUCUCCCAAUUCCCAUAGGCAACUCUACAUCCUCAUUAAUAUAAAGAUGCCUCAAGUUAAUCAAGUACUUAAUCGUACUGGGCAGUUUUCUCUCAAUUCUUCUCACAAUUCUCCAAUACAAACCUUGUGUGUCUACUCUCAACGUCUGCAAGUGAAAGAAUUCACCAAUCCAAUCCGGCAAAUCUUUAAUACUUGUCUUUGAAAUGUCAAAAUCUCUCAAAUGUAUCAACUUUUUAAUCGAACUUGGCAGCUCUUUUAUAACUAUAGAGUCAACACGUAAAACAUGCAAACUUUCCAAGUCUGAGAAGUUGAUAUCAGAAAUAUCACCUUCCGAUGUUAUUAGUAAUGUACGCAAAGACUUUGCCAUUUCUUUUGGGAUACGACUUGAUUCGUCUCCAUAAUAGUUGUCUCCGAGAAUCAUGUAUCGAACUCGGCUGCUACCACCUGUACUGUUAGAGGAGCUUGAAACAGAACAAGCGAGAUCGUGCACAAGAUCAUGCAUGCCACAACUUUCUACAUUUCCAAAACGAUCUCUCUUUGAAACUUGCAGUAAAGAGUUGUGAAGAAGAAGGUUGAUAAAUUUUUCGCCCAUGGACUCCAUGUCAUCCCUUUCAUCAGCUGGAAGAAAACCUUCUGCCAUCCAAAACUCAAUCAGUUCUUGUAUAAUGAUUUUGGAGCCUUUAGGAAACAUGGCACAGUAAGCAAAGCACUUCUUAAGUAAUGGCAGAGACAAAUUAUCAAAGCUCAAUCUUAAUAUUUUUGUGAUAUUAUCUCCACCUUCAUUUGGUGCAAGCCAUUUCUCCUCGAUUGAACGCCAUUUCUCCUCAGAUUGAUUGCUCAGUAUUCCCCCAACUACGUUGGCAGCUAAUGGCAAACCCUGAAAUCUUCUUGCAAUCUUUCUCCCAAUGUCCUCAAAUUCCGACGGAACAUCUUCUUUUCUGAAUGCUUUUGCUCUAAUUAUUAACCAACACUCUUCAUCGGAUAAGCCUUUCAACUCAUGUACAUGAAGUGGAUUCACAAUUGAAGCAACCUUCAUACUUCUGGUGGUGACAACAAUUGCAUUUCCCUUAACAGAACUAACUCCCAACAAGGAAUUGAUAAAAUCUUCCCAUUUCGAAAGAUCUUCAUUCCAUACAUCAUCAAGAAUAAGAAGAUAUGUUUUAUCUUUCAAAGUUUUUUGAAGUUUUGAAAGAAUAUCUUGCUUACUCUCAACUUCAACUCCAUCAGAAGAAAACUCUCUGAGAAUUUUCUUGAAAAGAAUGAUUGGAUCAAAAUUAGGAGAAACAUGCACCCAAAUAUGUGAUCCAAAUCGAGUCUCAUUCUUUAGACGAUUGAAGACUCUCCUAGUCAACAGGGCCGUCUCUGAGGGCGGGCCAGCAUGGGCGACCGCCCAGGGCCCAUCAUUUUUGGGGGCCCAAAAUUUUUUAUAUUCUCUUAUAUAUACUAUUAUUAUUAUUGGCCUAACUUUCUUCUUGUGUAUACUAUUACCAUUGAAUAAAAAAAAAUGAGGCCAAAAAAAUUUCAUCCUGAAUAAUUUUGGGGCCCCCAAAAAUUAUAAGGUCUAAUAUCAUUUUUUGUGUAUACUAUGCGCAUUGACUCUAUCAUGAAACAAUUAGAAGGUCUAAUAUCUAAUACAAGUUUGACUAUUGCUAAGAGUUUUGCAUCUAAUAUGAAUAUGGAGCCAAUAUUUUUAAUAAAAUGUCAUUUAGAAUUUGAAUAUUUUGUAGUUGUUGUGGACAUAACGAUUACUUCUUUAAAAUGUAGAUUUAAAGAAAUGAAAUCAUUUGAUCAUAUAUUUGGUUUUCAUUUGAUUCGAAAACUUUAAAAUUUUUGGAUAGUGAAAAAUUAAGACAUUAAUGUGUUAAUUUUAAAUCUACUUUUACUCAUUAUAUGAGUUAGAUGAUUUAUUUAUUGAAUUAAAAAUAUUACAAAUGAAAUUAUCAAAUAAAAUAACUUCAACUAUUGAAAUUCUUGAAUUUAUGAAAAUUACAGAUUGUUAUCCAAAUGUUGCAAUAUUGUUAACUAUGUCUGUAACAGUAGCUUCGGCUGAGAAGAGUUUAUGGAAGUUAAAAUUAUUGAAGACAUAUUUAAAAACGUCGAUAUGGCAAAAAAGAUUAAAUAGUUUAGCAAUUUUUUGUAUUAAAAAAUAUAUCUUAAAAAAUAUUGAAACAAAUGUUCUUAUAGAUGACUUUGCAAGUAAAAAAGGCGAGAAUAAGUCAUUUUUUUUAUAAUUAUUAAUAUACUUUUUACUGAAAUAUUAUAAUAUGACUUUAAAAAAAGUGUUUUUUUGUGUUGUUAUGAUGGUGAAUAGAGGGCCCAUUUUUAUCGUUUCGCCCUGGGCCCAUUUUUCGUCAGAAACGGCCCUGCUAGUCAAUGUCGUCUUCCCCAAUCCCCCCAUCCCGACAAUGGAAAUGAUGGAAACUGCGUGUUUAUCAGUUGUGAUGCUAUUGGUAAUCAUCUCAACUAUUUCCGACUCAACAUUAUCUCUUCCAAUAAAAAUUGGAUCAAGAGUGUAUGAAUCAGUUUCCAAAGCAGCAAUAACCAAAGCAGGCUCAUUAGCAAGCUUCUCUACGAGGCCAAGCUUGGCGGCCUCUUUGUUAAUGAACUCCAAAUUCUCAUUGAUUUCUUUGAUUUUAAGAGCCAUAUUUCGAGAACGUGAAAUAUGCUUGAAGCAUGAGAAGCAUGAUGGUACCUUUUCCUCCUCGGGCUCAGUGGGCUUGAUUUGUUUGGAGAGAAGAUNUUCCGUAGAAUGAAUAAUUUAUACACUUCAAAUUCAACCAAUGAUACAACACAAGGGACUUGAGAUUGGGCAAGUGCCCAACAUUGGAACACUCGUCAAUUGCGGGCAAUCAUGAAUUUCCAAAUGUUGGAGGCGAGGAAAUAGCUUCACUUCACUUCCAUCCGAAAUUUCUAUUUCUGGCCACUCUGCCAGCUUAAGCAUGUACCACAAUAUGAGCACUUCGAGAGCUGGAAAAGCAAUGCCUGACUCCUUGUUCACCAUUCCGUAGAAUGAUGAAUUUAUACACUUCACAGUUAAACAAUCCCACAACUCAAGGGACUUGAGAUUUGGCAAGUGCCCCAACAUUGGGAUCUCUUCACAUUCUUCACAGUCAAUGAGUGAUAACGAGAUUAACUUGUUAAGUAGCACCCAAGAGCCUUGAGGCGCAUCUCCAACUGACAUCUUCUCAGUCCAUAAUGGAAAUCUUUUUCCAUUGAAUCGCUCGAUCUCUAACUCCCUCAGAUCUGAGUGAGGUUGAAGGCCUUCCAAUACACUCUCAUCAUUUCUUUCACCAUCUCUGUUCCAACCCCAUUCCAAACACAAGUUCAAUAUUUUAGACUUUUUGAAUAAAUUGGCUUUCCCAGCCUCUUCCUUGUCAUGAACCCUUUCCAGAUUCCGAAUCUGCAACUCUCCUUUAAGAUUAUUCAAACUUCCGAGCUCUUCAAUUUUGCAGCCAUUCUCGUCGCCCACUGGAAAGCGCGUUAGCGUUUGGAGAGAAGUUAAUCUCCCAAUUCCCAUAGGCAACUCUACAUGCUCACUAAUAUAAAGAUGCCUCAAGUUAAUCAAGUACUUAAUCGUACUUGGCAGUUUUCCCAUAUAUCCUAAAGGUAGUCUCAACGUCUGCAAGUGAAAGAAUUCACCAAUCCAAUCCGGCAAAACUUCAAUUCUUGUAUCUGAAAUGUCAAAAUCUCUCAAAUGUAUCAACUUCUGAAUCGAACUUGGCAGCACUUUAACUCCAUAACCUUGAAGACGUAAAACAUGAAGACUUUCCAAGUCUGAAAAGUUCAUAUCAGAACCACCAUAAUAGAUUGAUGAUAUUAAUAAUGUACGCAAAGAUUUUACCAUUUCUUUUGGAAUUGGACUUGAUUUGUCUCCACAAUAAUUGUCUUCUUCGCGAAUCAUGUAUCGAACUCGACUGUUACCACAGUUAGAGGAACUUGAAACAGAACAAGCGAGAUCAUGCACAAGAUCGUGCAUGCCACAACUUUCUACAUUUCCGUCAUCAUCUCUUUCUGAAACUUGCAGUAAAGAGUUGUGCAGAAGAACGUUGAUAAAUUUUUCACCCACGGACUCCAUGUCAUCCCUUUCAUCAGCUUCAAGAAAACCUUCUGCCAUCCACAUCUCAAUCAGUUCUUGUUUCUUGAUUUUGGAGCCUUUAGGAAACAUCGCACAGUAUGCGAAGCACUUCUUAAGUGAUGGCAAAGACAAAUUAUCGAAGCUCAGUCUCAAUAUAUUUGUGAUAUUAUCUCCUCCUUCAUCGGCUGAAAGCCAUUUCUCCUCGACUGAACGCCAUUUCUCCUCGGAUUUAUUGCGUAGCACUCCCCCAACUAUGUUGGCAGCUAAUGGCAAACCUUGGCACCUUCUUGCUAUCUUUCUCCCAAUGGCCUCAAAUUCUGAAGGAACAUCUUUUUUUCCGAAGGCUUUUGCUCUUAUUAUUGACCAACACUCUUCCUCCGAUAAGCCUUUCAACUCAUGUAUAUGAAGUGUAUUCACAAUUGAAGCCACCUCCAUAUUUCUGGUAGUAACAACGAUGGCAUUUCCCUUGACACAACUAACUCCCGAAAAAGAAUUCAUAAAAUCUUCCCAUUUCAAACCAUCUUGGUUCCAUACAUCAUCAAGCACAAGAAGAUAAGUUUUAUCUUUCAAAGCUUCUUUAAGCUUUGCAAGAAUAUCUUCCCUGCUCGCAAUUUCAACUUGACAAGAUGUCAAGUUAUUGAGAAUUUUCUUGAAAAGAGUUAUUGCAUCAAAAUUUGGGGAAACAUGCACCCACAAAUAUGAUCCAAACUGAGUCUCAUUCUUCAGACGAUUGAAGACUUUCCUAGUCAAUGUCGUCUUCCCCAAUCCCCCCAUCCCGACAAUUGGAAGGAUGGAAACUGCACGUUCAUCAGUUUUGAUGCCAUUUAUAAGCAUCCGAACUAUUUCCGACGCAACAUAAUCUCUUCCAAUGAAAAUAGGAUCAUCAGUGAAUGAAUCAGUUUCAAAAAUAGCAGUAUUAACCAAGAUGGGCUCAUUUUCAAGCUUCGCUACGAGGCCAAGCUCGGUGGCCUCUUUCUUAAUAGACUCCAAAUUCUCAUUGAUUUCUUGGAUUCUAACAGCCAUUUUUCUUGGACGAGCAAUAGAAUUGAAGGAUGAUGAGAAGCAUGAUAGUACCUUCGCCUUCAUGGGUUUGGUUGCCUUAAUUUUUUUGGAGAGAAUAUGAUAGUUGAGUUCAUCCAAAACAUUGUCAGCAUCAAACGCCUCGUUUUCAAGCUUCUUCAGCCAACUCUUGACAGCAUCGCUGGUGAUCUCACGCGUCUCGGCAUCCUUCAAGAAAUUUUUGAUCACGUCGAGACUCCCAGCUAGCUUUGCUGCAUCUUUGUCGAGACCUCGGAUUUGAGAGAUCUCUUUCUUGCAGAGGUCGAUGAGGUUUUGAACUAGAACUUCAACGGCAGCAGCAGCUCCUCCUUCCAUUCUUUGUGCUGAUAACUUAAGAGAGAGAAAGAGAGAAAUUGAGUGAGAGAGAUAGCAAAGCAGUAGAAUUGGAUGAGUGAUGCAAGCUCAAGACUUUACAGCCUUUCAUUCUAUAUCUAGAUAUGGAUUUCUUUUUUUCAUUUUUUAUAGUAUUUCAAUCUUUGCCGACACUUUUUUUUAAUACUUUGACUUUGACUAGUUAGCUCAUGAAAGAUUUGGUGGGUAGUAUUAAUAUAAAUUUUUUUUAUCAUGAAUAUAUUUUUGCAUCCACUCAAACCCCACUAAUAUGUCCUAUUUAAAACCAUUACCAAAAAGUUGAAGCUUAAGAAAAUCUCAUAUAUAUAGUCAAAUUAUUGAAUACCAUAAUCAUCAAUUAUUAACUAAAAAAAUUGAAUUUACAAUUAUUUACUCUAAUUGUUUAUAAUUAACCCUAUUGAAUAAUUGCAAAAUCAAACUAUAGCACAGUAAAAUAAAAUUGAAAACAAAACAGUAAAGAAAAAUGAAAAUUGUACAGGUAGAAUACAAAAAAGUGGGAUUGACAAAUGACGAUCUCAAGUGUAUAAGUACCAAAAAGUUGUUAAGAUUUGAUCUCUUCUUGAAUAAUUCGAAAUGAUAAAAUUAGUUUGAUCAAAAAAUAAAAAAGGAAUACUUAGGAGCCGUUCUAUUUGGACCAACCAAAUUAACAUUGUUAACUAAUAUUAUUGCUCGAAAAUAUGCGGCUUAAAAAGAAUCUCAUCAUGGUGGAUCAAUACAUAGAAAUUUUAAUGGGCUUUAAUCAUCAAGGCCCAUCUCUACUCAGUAUCCAGAUAAGCCCAACAAGCUAAUUGAAGCUUCGAAAAAUUGUUCUAUAAGUGCCCUUUGUCAUGAAGAUUCUACGGAGGAGGCACAAUGUUUGCUUACAGAGAUGCAGAGUCAUGGUUGUGCACCUGACGAAGUGACAUACAACAUCAUGACGCGAAGUUUCCUAAAGAAGAAAGAGCUUAGCAAGGCAAUACUAUACUUGGAAGUAAUGCGCGAAAAGGGAAUCUCAGCGGAUGUUUCUACUCUUUCCAUGCUAGUUGAUCAAAUGCAAGGACAAACUAAAGAUGUUUUUCUUCUCAAAUUGAUGAAGGAUGUUUUGCCAAAGGAUAUUGUAUCAUAAUCCACUCAGGCUUCGGGGCUGAUCUCUAGUGUCUUUUUAUAUCUUCUGUUUUUCUUUUUCUUUUUUUUUGUAAAAAAGAUUUUUCUUGUGAUGUUUGGAAGGGUACUUUCUUUUCCUUUAUUUGUGGGUGGUUUUGAAUUAGUCGAUUUGAGUAAUAUUUCUCAUCAUGUGUGCAUAUAUAUUCUCAUAUUUUAAUAGAUUCAUACACUGCAGAAAUAUAUUCAUUUAUGUCUUCUAUUUGUCUUCUGGUUUUUAAUAGAUUCAAGAAUGGAUGUCUUCGAUCUUUGUCUAGUCACAAAUUCAAGCUCAGUAAUAAUGCUUGGGCCUCAAUAAUAAUGUUUGGGCUCAAAAAUAUUUGGGCCUUAUUUGGGCUAAAAAAUUAUUGCAAUUAUAACUUGGCCCAAACUUAAAUUAUAGGAAUUACAUUCUAAGGCCUAUUUUCAAAGCCACUUUAAAAUCAUAAUAAAUAACGUUAAAUAUAUAAAUGAAUUUAUGUUGUUACAAAAACUUUUCUAAUCAUACUUGAAAGGGUUACUUACAUAUAAUAUACUUACAAAUGGCGAACGGAGAAGCUCAUUGCUCCUGCAAGCAAUAAUGGAUACAGGAAUUUAAUCAUGAUCGAGCGAGAUUUCAUCGAAAUUUUGUGAUAAGGUGAAUUUAUAUAAAAAAAAUUAAUCACAUAAAAUAUAUAGGUAAUAAAAAAAAAUAAAAAUAAAAAAUAGACAGGGUGCUUGGCCUCUGCCAACGCCCCUGCCUGCGUGCAUAUUCGAAAAAGAGUUCUAACUUCUGAAUUAUCAAUUAGUAAUUAAUUUCUGGCUUCAACGUAAUACAUAGGCACAAAAUGUUUAAUCCUUUUAAAGACAAAAUACAUAUGAAUUCUGAAUAUAAAAAUGCAGUGAGCUCAUCCAAACACAACAACUUUUUGCAAACAAAUAUCCAUUCAUAAAAUUCACACGAUUCUUCAUCUCUACAAGCAAACGUUCUACCUCCUCCAUAGAUCCUUCUUGACAAAGUGAAUGAAGGAUCAUAUUAUAUAUCCAAACAUUAGGUUGCAAACCUUUAGAAGGAAGUUCCCUCAAAAGAUCUCUUGCAACAUCGCGUUUGCCAUUUUUGCAUAAUCCAUCAUUGCUGAGGAUACUGGUGGGGGCCGGGGCGGUCGAGGUGGGCACGCAUCAGAGCGACGGGCAGAGGCUGAGGUGCGAGGAGGUCGGGGAGCGGAAGGAGCCGAGGGCGAUGUCGAGGGAGUGGACGACGUAUCGCUCGGCGCAUCAGAUGGGGAGCUGCAGAAUGGGGGUGGAUGAAGAGGAAGGAGCAGUUGAUGAGAAUGGGGAGAGUUGGGAGGCAAAGGGGCUGUUUGUGUGUGAUGCGAGUGUGCUGCCGGGAGCUGUUGGUGUUAAUCCAAUGAUCACCAUUCAAUCAACGCCAUAUUGUUUGUCUAAUAAGAUUGCUCAAACAUUGAAGAUGGAGAAGAUGUGAAUCUUCAUUCCUUCUUCAUCAACACAUGCUUGAUGAUUCAACCAUGUUUGUUUCUUGUCUUCACCAUUUGCCUUCUUUAAUACUUGCACCAUGAAAACAUAUACUAUAUAGAUAUAACUGAUACAACCCCCAACAUCAUUUCAUCAAAUUCAAGCUAGCAUGCCUCAAUAUUCAAACAUAAGAAAUAGGCAUUAAUCAUUCAUCAAGAAAUGGAAAAAGCUGGCUACCUCCCUUUUUGCUGGGACUGGAUUCAACUUCCACAGCUGCUGAAUCCUCUUGUUUCACUAUCUUCACAUCUUCAACAUUGUUGUCUGAAUUUUUGUCAUCAUCCUUCUCUUCACAGUCAACAACUACACUGUCGUCAUUCGUCCCCACGAGCAAGCUCGUUGAGGCUGCCUCGCCUCCAAGCUCUUCAAAAGCUCCCCUAUUACUGCCAUGAAUGUUAAAACAAUAACAGAUAGUUCAAGUUUGAUGGGAUGUAACUAACAAUAAACAACUUGCAAUAAGGCUGGACUCUGAUAUCAAAUUAAUAGCUUUUGAAGAAAAAAUCAUAAAAGCAGAACCAUAAACAGAACAAUAGACACAUGCUUGAGAGAUUGACAUUUAGUCCUACACAAAUUAUAUUAAUGGAUCUCAUAUAUAUAUCCUCAUGUCAUCUUGGAAUUUAUUUGAUUCUAUUAGAAACUUUUUUUCUUAAACAGAAUGAGACCUCUAUUCAAUUAGCCAUUCAUUUAUGAAGCUUAUAUGCCCCUCCAAAUCCACCUGAAAAGUAGACAAUCUUCAUCAACACAUGUUUCUUUCUUGUCUUCAUUCUUGUCUUCUUUAAUAAUUACACCAUGAAAACAUAUAAUAUUGAUACAACUGAUACAACCCCAACACCAUUUCAUCAAAUUCAAGCUAGCAUACCUCAACAUUCAAACACAAGAAAAAGCUAAAUGAUUUGAUCUCCUUUGCAUAAACUUGGUUGUGAAUUUCACAUUUUAGCAUUAAGUUGUGUAUGGGCAUAAAUAGUGAUGUGAAUCCUUAGUGUAGACACCAUCUGUUUCUAUAGAUAUAGAAGUGAUCUACUCAAAAUAAUUCCUUACAAUUAAUAAUCAUAUCAACUAAAGUUUAAACAAAGAAUAUACAUGGAAUUACAAAAAAAAUUAUGAAAAGAGGUUGAGCAAGUCACCAUGGAGAAAAUGGAUACUCACUUAUUCCUUCUUCACUAGAUCGCUUGCUUCACUGAAUCACACACAACUGAUUGCUUCUUUCACUUUCCUCGGAAUCAACUGUUUGCUAAGAUGAUUAGUCGCUGUAAAAAUAUAGUAAACAAACUCAAAAUAAUUAAUCUCCUUAUGUUUAAGCAUAUUGAGAUGAAUGAAACAUCACACUAAGGGGUGAGAUCCAUUGUCCACCAAUUUUAUGUAUGUCACUAUAUUUCAUUCUUAUAUCUAUUAUUUUAAUACUAAUAUUUUUUAUAAAAUAAAAUUUAAUACUAUGAAUUAUUCUUAAUAUUUAUUUCAAAAAAAUUAAAUUUUUUAUAAAAUUAUACACCGUAUUUUGAAUUUUUCACUAUUAUUAAUUAAUAAAAGUAAAAUUAAAUGAUGAAAAAUAAUUAUAUACCCUAAUUAGAUGGAAUGAAGUCCAAUUAAUAAUCACAAAAUUAAACUAAAGUAUUCAAAGUUGAAAUUGGAGAAAAAUAUAUAAAAAUAUAAAUAAAAUUGAAAGUUGGGCAUCAAUCCCCAAACUAAGAGCAACUGAAUUAGAAACUCCAUAAAAUAAGACACUUCCUCCGUCCCCGCUUCAAAUGAAAAUAUAGGGCCAUUCCUUAACACACCUUUUACUAGGCUACUUCAAUUAUAAUUAGAAUUUCAUUUUCAAAUAAAAUACACAUGCAACUGUUUCUAGAAAAGAUAUUGAUACUCACCGUCACGGGUUAAUGGAUUUGUUUCCAUUAAGUACUUCGAGGCGCCGCAUUGCAUCCACAGUCUCCAAACUUAAAUUAGGAACGUCUUUGAUUUUCAAUCUUGUUAGACGAGGGAAUAUAGGGAGGGAUGUGAUUGUGAAGCUUCUUCCUUCUGAUUCUUCUUCUCCCCACCUAUCUGAUAUUUCUCUCAAAUUCGGGCACUCUCUUAUUCUCAAAGAAGAGAGAGUCUCGCUGUUACUCAAUAACCAAUCAGCUGGCAGACGUUCCACACCGAUCUCCCUAAUUGACAAAUAUUCAAGGCAUGAUGACGACACAUGACUUGGAACACUCAUCAAUUGCUCACACUUGUAAAUUUCCAAAUGUUGGAGGCGAGGAAAUAGCUUCACUUCACUUCCAUCCCAAAUUUCUA
rnacentral:lncRNA from 1 species